rnacentral:rRNA from 1 species
GGCCCCUUGUAUUAUGAAGAUGGGGGGUCUGGCCUGCCCGGUGACAUUGUGUUAAACGGCCGCGGUAUCCUAACCGUGCAAAGGUAGCGUAAUCAUUUGCUCAUUAAUUGUGGGCUAGUAUGAAUGGCUUGACGAGGAUGUAGCUGUCUCUUUGUAAUUAUGUGGAAAUUAUUUUUUAGGUGAAGAAACCUAAAUGUGGCUGAGGGACGAUAAGACCCCAUCGAGCUUUAGUGGAAUUUUAGAAUAUGUAAACAUAAGUGGAAAUUACGGUGUUUAAGUGAAUCUUUGGUUGGGGCGAUCGAGGAGUAAAAGUAACCUCCUGUUAUGGUUUUUGACUUGUUGGUGAGUGAUCUGGCUUAAUUAUGCAGAUAGAAAGAAUAAGUUACCGUGGGGAUAACAGCGUAAUCUUCUUGGAGAGUUCUUAUUGAAAAGAGGGUUUGCGACCUCGAUGUUGGACUAAGAUUUCCUGAGGGUGCAGAAGCUUUCAAGGGUUAGUCUGUUCGACUAUUAAAAUCUUACA